CGAACUAUAAACAUCAUCCAAGCAGCAGAGGAAAGGCGCUGGCACGCAGUUUACAAAAAAAAAAAAAAAAGAGGAGAGGCGAAAAGGUUUCUCCCGAGAAAGUACAACUCUCCUUUUGAUUUGAGAUUUUCAAGUUUUCAUCAAUAUCUCGUCGAUUUAAAAAAUCAUGGACUUGAUACAAGUUCGUUUUAUCUUCGGUUUUAUCGGGAGUGUUAUUUCCAUUGGUUGCAUGGCUGUUCAUGUGCCUCAUUUCGUAGCUAUGUACAAAAACAAGUCACUGGGUAGAGCCUUACCACCCCCAUAUACUUGUGCAAAUAUUUCUGCACAAUAUGUUGUGGUUUUUUUAUGGCAUUGUUAACAAGGAUAGUAGUUGUCUUGUUUCAACCACUUGUGCCAUCUAUUUGGGAUUGUCAGCUAUCUACUUAUUUGUCUUCUUCAUCUCAUGCGGCCACAUGAAAGACCUAUGUUGGUUCAUUCUGUCAUGUCUUGUGGUUGGGAUCAUUGGUGUCGUAGGGAUUGUUCUCAUCACGCUUUUCUCAAUUGAAAGUUCCUCCGCUAAACUAAUAUUUGUUGGUGUUAUUGGCGAUAUCUCCUUCAUAUCUGUUAUGCUGAAAGUUCCCUUACUUUCACUGGAAAUUGCAGUGGUGACAAAAAGCGUUACUCAUAUAUCCUCUCGGAUAUCUAUCCUAACUGUCAUCAACGGUUUGGUUUGGGGUGCUUACUCUUGCAUCUACAUAUUCGAUCCCUACCUUUUUGCAAGUACUUUUUAUUUUAUUCAUACAUUGAUUUUUUUAUUCAUUAACAACAUUUUGUUCUUUUUGGUGUAUAUAGAUAUGUAGUGUUCUUCAAUUGUUGGUGUCUACUGCCAAGUUGAUAGUCUAUGCUCGCUACUACAAAUCUACUCCACUGGUGAAAUUAGAUUAGAUUUAAUGUGCUUUUCUUCUACUCACUUUAUUGUGACAUGUGCUUUUCUUCUACUCACUUUAUUGUGACUUUUAGUUAUUCC